UCCCAGACUCCUACGGGAGGCAGCAGUGGGGGAUAUUGCACAAUGGGGGGAACCCUGAUGCAGCGACGCCGCGUGGGUGAAGGAGCGUUUCGGCGCGUAAAGCUCUAUCAGCAGGGAAGAAGAUGACGGUACCUGACCAAGAAGCCCCGGCUAACUACGUGCCAGCAGCCGCGGUAAUACGUAGGGGGCAAGCGUUAUCCGGAUUUACUGGGUGUAAAGGGAGCGCAGACGGCAGUGCAAGUCUGGAGUGAAAGCCCGGGGCCCAACCCCGGAACUGCUCUGGAAACUGUGCGGCUAGAGUACUGGAGGGGCAGGCGGAAUUCCUAGUGUAGCGGUGAAAUGCGUAGAUAUUAGGAGGAACACCAGUGGCGAAGGCGGCCUGCUGGACAGUAACUGACGUUGAGGCUCGAAAGCGUGGGGAGCAAACAGGAUUAGAUACCCCCGUACAC
rnacentral:rRNA from 1 species